UACGUAGGGUGCGAGCGUUUGUCCGGAAUUACUGGGCGUAAAGAGCUCGUAGGUGGUUUGUCGCGUUGUUCGUGAAAACUCACAGCUCAACUGUGGGCGUGCGGGCGAUACGGGCAGACUGGAGUACUGCAGGGGGAGACUGGAAUUCCUGGUGUAGCGGUGGAAUGCGCAGAUAUCAGGAGGAACACCGGUGGCGAAGGCGGGUCUCUGGGCAGUACUGACGCUGAGGAGCGAAAGCGUGGGGAGCGAACAGG
rnacentral:rRNA from 1 species